AUUGAACGCUGGCGGAAGGCCUAACACAUGCAAGUCGAGCGAGCGGCGGACGGGUGAGUAAUGUCUGGGAAACUGCCUGAUGGAGGGGGAUAACUACUGGAAACGGUAGCUAAUACCGCAUACCAUCAGAUGUGCCCAGAUGGGAUUAGCUAGUAGUUUGGGUAAAGGCUCACAUAGGCGACGAUCACUAGCUGGUCUGAGAGGAUGACCAGCCACACGUGAACGGAGACACGGUCCAGACUCCUCCGUGAGGCAGCAGUGGGGAAUAUUGCAGAAUGGGCGCAAGCCUGAUGCAGCCAUGCCGCGUGUGUGAAGAAGGCCUUCGGGUUGUAAAGCACUUUCAGCGGGGAGGCGUUACCCGCAGAAGAAGCACCGGCUAACUCCGUGCCAGCCGCCGCGGUAAUUC
rnacentral:rRNA from 1 species